GCUUUCUUCUAAGUGUUCAUAAGACCAUUGACUUUUGUUUUAUCCCUUCGUAUACAAUAAUAUUCUCUUCUUCUCAGCCUUCAUUUUUCAUCCAUGGCGGAUUCAAUUCUUUUCAAUGUUGCUGCUAGUGUUAUUACUAAAUUGGGAUCUUCUGCACUUCGAGAACUUGGAUCUCUGUGGGGUGUCAACGAUGAGCUCGAUAAACUCCAAAACACUCUUUCGGCCAUUAAAGCCGUGCUUCUCGAUGCCGAGGAGCAACAAUCCAAGAGCCACACAGUCAAGGAUUGGAUUUCAAAGAUUAAAGAUGUUUUCUAUGACAUUGAUGACUUGAUUGACGAGUUCUCUUAUGAAACUUUGAGAAGACAAGUUCUUACCAAAGAUAGAACAACCACCAAACAAGUACGUAUCUUCUUCUCCAAAUCUAAUCAGAUUGCUUUUGGUUUCGAAAUGGGUCAAACAAUUAAAAAAGUUAGGGAGAAGCUAGAUGCUAUUGCGGCUGAUAAAGCUCAACUUCACCUUUCUGUGAGUGUGAGGGAGGUACGAGAUAAUGAGCCAAGGAAGGUACGAGAGACUUCCUCAUUCAUACUCGAGGGGGAAGUCAUUGGUAGGGAUGAGGAUAGGAAAUCUAUUAUGGAUUUUCUAUUCAAUACCAACAACAUCAUAAAGGAUAACGUUGAAGUUGUUUCCAUUGUUGGAAUGGGAGGAUUAGGAAAGACAGCACUUGCUCAAGCUGUCUAUAAUGAUCGAAAAAUAAACAAUCAUUUUAAGUUGAAAAUGUGGGUGUGUAUUUCUGAAGAAUUUGAUAUCAAAGUAAUUGUUGAAAAGAUUUUAGAGUCUAUUACGAAAACAAAACAAGAGUCCCUUCAGUUGGAUAUAUUACAAAGUAUGCUUCAAGAGAAAAUUGAUGGGAAAAAAUACUUGUUGGUCAUGGAUGAUGUGUGGAAUGGAGACCACGAGAAAUGGAUUGGUCUGAAAAGAUUUUUAAUGGGUGGUGCUAGAGGAAGUAAGAUUUUGGUGACAACCCGUAAUCUACAAGUUGCACAGGCUUCUGACACUGUUUGGUUCCAUCACUUAAAAGAACUUGACAAGGACAACUCUUGGGCGUUGUUUAGGAAAAUGGCAUUCUUAAACAAAGAAGAAGAGCUUGAGAAUUCAAAUUUGGUUAGAAUGGGUAAAGAGAUUGUAGGAAAGUUGAAAGGUUAUCCCCUUGCAAUAAGAGUAGUUGGACGUUUGUUAUAUUUCAAAAACACAGAAAUGGAUUGGUCGUCAUUCAAGGACAACGAACUUGACUCAAUUUUGCAACAAGAUGAUCAAAUUCAACCAAUAUUGAAGAUAAGUUUUAACCACCUUCCACCUAAUUUGAAGCAAUGUUUUACGUAUUGUGCUUUGUUUCCCAAAGAUUAUGAGUUUAAAAAGGAAGGAUUGGUAAAACAAUGGAUGGCACAAGGUUUCAUUCAAGCACAUAAUAAAAAGGCAAUUGAAGAUGUGGGUGAGGAUUAUUUUAAAGAGUUAGUGGGGAGGUCAUUCUUUCAAGACGUAAGAAAAAACAAAUGGGGAGACUUCAAGUACUGUAAGAUGCAUGAUUUGUUACAUGAUCUUGCGUGUUCGAUGGGAGAAAAUGAAUGUGCGGUUGUAAGUGAUAAUGAUGUUGGGUCCAUUGACAAAAGGACUCGACAUGCCUCUUUUCUCUUAAGCAAGAGGACAACAAGGGAAGUUGUAUCAAAAUCAUUCACUGAGGUAACAAGUUUGAGAACAUUGGAUAUUGAUAGUAGUGCUUCUUUCCGUUCUUUCAAGAAAACUUAUCACAUGAACCUUUUCCGAUUACGAACAUUGAAUUUGGAUAGAUGUUGUUGUCAUCCUCCUAAGUUUAUUGAUAAGUUGAAACAUUUGAGAUAUCUUAAUCUUUCUGGUUUGAAUGUAAGUUUCCUUCCCAAUUCUAUUACCAGAUUGUAUAAUUUGGAAACACUUAUCCUUCGCUACUGCUUUUGGCUAAGAAAAUUGCCAAAAGAUAUUAACAAUUUGAUCAAUCUCAGGCAUCUUGAUAUCUAUGAUUGUUGCAGUUUGACUCACAUGCCAAAAGGCUUAGGUGGGAUGACCAACCUUCAGACAAUGAGUAUGUUCGCAUUAGGAAAGAAUAAAGGUGGUGACUUAAGUGAAUUGAAUGGACUAAAAAGCUUGAGAGGAUUAUUGAGUAUUAAAGGUUUACAAUUUUGCACAACUACUGAUUUGAAAAAUGUAAGCUACUUGAAAGAAAUGUAUGGAAUUCAAAAGUUGGAAUUACACUGGAACAUAAAAAUGGAUCAUGAAGAUAUCUUAGAUGAUGGUGAUGAAGAUGAUGAGGGAGUUUUGGAGUGCUUAAAACCACAUUCAAAUGUUCGCAAAAUGAUUAUAAAAGGAUACAGAGGAAUGAAGUUAUGUGAUUGGUUUUGUUCUAAUUUCCUGGGUGGUUUGGUUAGCAUAGAGCUUUCACAUUGUGGAAAUUUGGAGCAUCUCCCACAGUUUGAUCAAUUCCCAUAUCUCAAGCAUCUUCUUCUUGGAUACUUGCCCAAUAUUGAAUACAUCGAUAGCAGCAAUUCUGUUUCUUCAACAACAUUUUUUCCAUCCCUUGAGAAACUAAGGAUUGAGAGCAUGCCCAAGUUGAAAGGGUGGUGGAAGGGGGAAAUUUCAUGUCCAACAACAUUACAUCAACUCUCAGAAUUAUGUAUUUUUUAUUGUCCUCUGUUGGCUUCUAUUCCACAACAUCCAUCUUUGGAAUCAUUGAGAAUAUGUGGUGUCAGUGUGCAACUUUUUGAAAUGGUAAUACGAAUGGCUACCAACCUUUCUGAACAUUCUUCUUCUUCUUCUUCUUCUUCAACAUUGUCUAAAUUAUCUUUCCUUGAGAUUGGAAUUAUUGAUCUUGAGUUAUUGCCAGUGGAGUUAUUCUGCAAUAUGACACAUCUUGAGUCUCUUAUCAUAGAACGCUGCAAAAGUUUACAAAUUUCUUCUCCCCAUCUUGUCGAUGAGGAUAAUGGUGAUGUAGUAUGGAAAAAACUCCUUAAUCUCCGGACACUUCGGCUUGAGAGCAUUCCCAAAUUGGAGUAUUUGCCCAAGAGUUUGAAAUAUAUCACAAGUCUUGAAACUUUGAAGCUAUCAAAUUGUGAAAAUUUAGUGAGUAUCGAGGGGAUUGGGAAACUCACUUCACUAUCACAUUUGGAAAUUGAUAGAUGUCCUAAUUUACCUUUAUUGUCGGAAGAUGUCGGCGACCUCAUUUCCCUAUCACACUUGCUUAUUUGGAGUUGUCCCAAAUUAACUUCCUUGCCAGAAGGAAUCACUCGCCUCACUUCACUCUCAAGUUUGUGUCUUGAAGAUUGUCCCAAUUUAGUCUCCUUGCCCCAAGAAUUUCUCCACCACCACAGCUCCUUACCAGGAGGACGGUUCUUGAGAAUUUUGAACUGUCCCAAAUUGCGGAUUCAAGACGAGAAACAAAAGGAAGAAGAAAAAGAAGACAAGGAGGAUUGGACUGACUUCACACAUGCCUUGACGGGAUGUAGGCACACAUUACGUUACUGGUUUUAAGAGCUUCAAAAAGCCGAACUUCAUAUGAUCUCUACUCCAAGGAAUAAAGGUUUGUUUUCACCAUGAAAUAUUCAGUAUUGAUUUCAAUAUGAUUGCAUCAACAGAAGUCAAAUCCCAAGAACAGACAAUGAUCACAAAAUGUGCUGUAUAAAGAAGGAGAAAGUCAUUCCAUUUGUUCCAUAACAGAGGCAUAGGUGGAGGAAGGAACUAAAAGCAAAGAAAAUGAGUAUGACGAUAGUAACUGGGUGCCAUCUUUUAAUGGACUGUUCUUUUUCCAUUUCCUUUCAAGUAAUAUUGUUGCUUUUUUGAUUUUAAAUGUAAUGUAUUGUCAAUUGAUAGGUAUGUAUAGUGGUACCUAUCUAUAUAUUAACAUUGGGUUUUUGACUACUGGUUUUUUACUCUUCAAUUUGGGAAAGUUUUUGCA